rnacentral:lncRNA from 1 species
UGGGAUUUGGAGUGGGUUUGAACGAGGUUCUAUCAGAUAGGAAAUGGGGAUUGAAUUAUUGAUAUAACUGGGAAGAAAAGAAGAAAAUCUGUUGAGAAGACAAAAGCUGUGGGGCUCUUUCGGGCUGAGAGAGCUCGAAUACAUGAAGAAAACAUGUCCAAGAAUGAGAGCGUAUUGAUAUCUAUUUACAAAUAUGGGUUCAUUUUUUCUUCCAUUUUUUUAAAAUUCAUUCUUUGUGCCCAUCUUUGUUCAGCUUGGGGGUUUAAAGGGUUU